rnacentral:rRNA from 1 species
AUUGAACGCUGGCGGCAGGCCUAACACAUGCAAGUCGAACGGUAGCACAGAGAGCUUGCUCUCGGGUGACGAGUGACGGACGGGUGAGUAACGUCUGGGAAACUGCCCGAUGGAGGGGGAUAACUACUGGAAACGGUAGCUAAUACCGCAUAACGUCGCAAGACCAAAGUGGGGGACCUUCGGGCCUCACACCAUCGGAUGUGCCCAGAUGGGAUUAGCUAGUAGGUGGGGUAAUGGCUCACCUAGGCGACGAUCCCUAGCUGGUCUGAGAGGAUGACCAGCCACACUGGAACUGAGACACGGUCCAGACUCCUACGGGAGGCAGCAGUGGGGAAUAUUGCACAGUGGGCGCAAGCCUGAUGCAGCCAUGCCGCGUGUAUGAAGAAGGCCUUCGGGAUGUAAAGUACUUUCAGCGGGGAGGAAGGCGGUGAAGUUAAUAACUUCACCGAUUGACGUUACCCGCAGAAGAAGCACCGGCUAACUCCGUGCCAGCCGCCGCGGUAACAC